CGGGGGGCCGGAGCGGGCGGCCUAUUGUCCGAGAGCGGCGGGGGCUGAGCACGCGCGGGCCGCAGGACGGCGGGACGCGGAAGUGGCAGACUAAAGCACAGAGGGAGACGUGUCCAAGAUGCCGUGGCAACAAGGAAAAUCGUGGCCGGGAGCUCAAGUCCUCUGAAAGGGGGAGAAAGUCAUGUUGUUCCUGGCGCUCGGGUUUGAGGUCCUCAGAGCAGCAAUAAAAACGCGUCCCCUGGUGGCUUGUUAUGCAUAUGGACAUUCCUGACUCCUAAGUAGUCCGCACAACUGGGGGGCGCAGGCAGACUCCAGAGCGCCCCUGGGCCGGCGGGCUCCCUGCACCAGCUCCGAGGUGAGGAGAGGCUUCAUUUCCCACACGGCAGCCAGAGCGACCAUAAAAGUACCAAACCUUCACUUUCCUGCUUAAACCCUCGUCAACGAGGAACGUCCAUCCUGUAGAGAAUGUUUAUAAAUACUGAUGUGCGCCAAACACAGGAUAUGCCUGGAAGCAGGACUUCACAGACUGAGACAAAUGUUUCUAAGGAAGUGACAGUUUGCAACUUCUUUUAUGCAUUUGGAAUUAAGGAGGGAACUUGAAGAAGUCUGCAUGAAGAGCAGUGGAACCAGCAGCAGCAGCAUCACCGGGAACUGGCCUGGCCCAGCAGUUCCCAACUGCACCCAAAUUCCUUAGGAAGUGCAUGGAAAUAGCGGGUGCUGGGACCUACCCCAGAGUUUCUGAGUCAGCAGCUCUGUCCAGGUGGAGCCUCGGGGUCUGCAUCUCCAACAAGUUUCCAGGCGAUGCUGGUGCGGCUGGCUCAGGAUCCACCCUUGGAAACCAGCCGUCUACAGUCCUAUGUCCCAUGCUUCUCAGAGCACUGUGACAAUGACCCUGGGUGCACCCAGGCGUGAGGACAUCUAUCAGAGUGGAAAGCGGCGACCCACUUUGCCUGACCCUCGAGCUUUGAGGACAUCGCCGACAAAGCACUGGGGACACGAGGCCACCCCCAUGCAACACCUAAAAGCCCAGGGCCAGUUUCCUGGGUGUUCAGAGCCCACAGCCGGGAACCGGCGCAGGCACCGCAGACCCCAGCCAGGCAGUCUUGCGAAUUGCUCUUCUCCUUUCCUCCUAGGGGACCAGCUGCCGAGGCCCAUACUCUUUGGUCCCCAGCUGCCCCCCACCCCCAUGUCUGCUUGCCUGGAGUGCUCAGAAGCUGUGGGCUGUGCACCCCACUCCCACUCAGCUCUGGAAGCAGACGCACCGUCUCCACCAAUAGACACACACACCUGAACCCACACUCCACGUAUUUCCGGCCCCAGCUGGUCAUGCCCACAGUCCGGGGAGCACCUUGUAGCUUUACGGCUCAUGAAGACGGGGUCCCGUGGCGUCAAAGCACAUAGUAAACCUCUGUGAAAGGGUCCUUGGUGAUGCCGGGAAAGGCCAGGUAGCCGCUAGGUGUUUUACUGCUGUAUUUAAUUCUUUUUUUCCCCAAAAAAGAUUUUAUUUAUUUAUUUUUAGAGAGAGGAGAAGGGAAGGAGACAGGGAGAGAAACGUUGAUAGUUUGCCUCUCGCACGCUCCCCCUGCUGGGGACCUGGCUGGCAACCCAGGCAUGCGCCCUGACUGGGGGUCGAACUGUCGACCUUUCAGUUUGCAACCAGUGCUCAAUCCACUGAGCAACACCAGCCAGGGCUACUUAAUUCUUAAGGACCGAGAUGCUUUCAAUUUCUGUGUUCAACAUUUAGAAUGGCAACCGUGCCCUGAUGGGCAUGGCUCAGUUCAUAGGGCGUUGUCCCGCAAAUUGAAAGGUCACUGGUUCAAUGUCCGGUCAGGGCACUUACAAGGAGGAAAGUGAUAGAUGUUUCUGACUCACAUCAAUGUUUCUCUCCCUCUCUUUGUCCCUCCUUCCUCCUUUAAAAAGUAAAAAAUUAAUAAUAAUAAUUAAAAAACAAUAAAGAAUUAGAAUGGCAGCCAUGUUAUUUAAUAUGUAUAGAUCAGUUUUCUCUGUUCCAUGUGCUUGGAAGUAUUUGUUGAUUAAUAGCUCAAAAUAUGUGUUUUUAAAUAACACCAGUUGUUUAAAAAGCAAACUAAUGAUGAGCUCAAUGUUUUAUCAAUAAGUAGGCAGAGCAUGGAUGGUGUUAAGGGUUUGCUGAUAACAUUUUGUUUUGUUGUGUCCGGUGAAAAAUGUUCUGAUUUCUAUUUUACCUGUGAAUCCACCCCCUGGGCAGGGCUCACGCCCUGUGGCCGGGCCUGGGUGUGGGGACCCAUGGUGAACCUGCGGCUUUCCUUUAGUCUUCGCGUCUAUUUUUCCGAGAAUGCUGAUGUAAACAUAGCCUGCCUGGGAACACGCUCACGAAAUGUGCCGUUUUCAGCUUGUGCCCAGAAUCCCAGUAACAUCAGUGGGAUCGCGUCCCUCUGCAGCUCCAGACCUCCGUCUUCCUGCUUCCGGAUUCCCAUCGGACUAAGACCCUCCCCUUGACCCUCUGUGAUGGGGCCUGUCGCUGCCUCUCGCCCAUAGUCUUCCCUCACCGCGCCCCCUGCUGGCGGCCACACUGCCUGCCUCACUGUUCCGGCCCUUGCCCUCCCAUGCACUCAUUCCCUCACCAAACAGGGUGCCCUGGGCCCCUUUUCUGAGAGCCCAGGGUGUAACUGUGAACAAAAUAGACAGACUUUUUUUUUCAAAGAUUUUAUUUAUUUUCCAGAGGGGAAUGGAGAGAGAAAGAGGGAAACAUUAAUGUGUGGUUGGCCCUUGAGCGCCCCCUACUGGGGACCUUGCCCACAACCUAGGCACGUGCCCUGACUGGGAAUCGAACAAGUGGCCCUUGGUUUGCAGUCCGGCUCUCAAUCCACUGAGGCACACCAGCGGGGCAGGGCCAGACUUUUUUUUUCCAGUCCUAUUUGGACUUCAUCCCAGGAAAGGGAUGUAAACAAAAUAGAUACGUGCCUCCCAGCAUGUGUUAGAAUGAGAUGAGCACCAUGGAGAAAGGGAAGCUGGGUAGGAGGGGCCGGUUAAAUACAAUGGUCAGGGAAGGUCUCACUGAGGAAGUGACAUCUGAGCAAAGGCUUGAAGGGCAAAUGGAAAGAGACGAAUGUUGGAGACAGCCACUCCCUAGGGAUGUGGUUGGGCAAAGUGAGUGGAGGGGAAAGUACCGUUAAGAGAGGGUCUUUAGAUUUUUUUUUAAUAUUUUAUUUAUUUUUAAAGAGAGGGGAAUAGAGGGAAAAAGAGAAAAGAGAAACAUCAAUUGGCUGCCUCUCACACAUGCUCUGACCAAGGACUGAACCCACAGCCUAUGCAUGUGCUCUGAUCAGGAUUCAAACCAGUGACCUUUCACUUUGUGGGAUGACCCCCAACCAAAUAAACCACACAGACCAGGACUAGAUUUUUUUUUUACUAUAGGAGAUACCCCAUAUUUCUAUGCUGAUGGCAUGAUUCUGGGAGAUGGGGGUUGGGAGGAGGAGGAUGGCUAAUGUGGGAGAGAGGGAGAAGUUUUGGAGUGACGUGCCAGAGUAGCAGACCAGGGCUGGGCACCACUGCGUACUUCCUCCAGGGUAACAGGGAGGAAGGGUUUGGGCGAGAAUGAAGUCAGUAAGUGCAUAGGUGUUGGAACCUGGCGGUGGUAGGGAGCUCUUCGGUUACUCCGGGAAAUAGGAAGGAGGGUGAGCUGAGAGGGAAGCAGGCGAGUUGCUGCUGGGGACUGCCCAUCCUGGAGCGAGAGAGUGAACAGCUUCACCAGCGGGGUGUUACGGAAGCGUGGAGUCUCCCCCUCGCUCCCACCCUCCACCCUGAGAUUCUGGGCAUGACUCUCAGUGAGGUCAGCCAGUGCGGUGGCCCGGUGUUCUGGAGCCAAGGUUCAAUCAUGCAGAUGGGGGUGUGCGGUGGGUGGAGAGUUGGGUCUCACUGGGCUGGCUUUUGCCAAGUGAGUGCAAUGGAACCAAAGUGAGCAAGGGAGUCGCCACUUCUCCUGCCCAGAGCCCCAGACACUCAUGGGACUCCCUGGCUUGUCACCUGCAGGUCUGCACUCAGUGGUCACGUCCCCAGAAAGCCCCCUCUCUCCAUCCUUGUCCCUUUAUGACACCACAGCGAACUUCUGUCUCCUCACUGGAAUGCAAACCUCAGGCCAUGGAUUGCUGACCACGUAACAAUGAUAUUAACACAGCCCAGGAACCUAGAACAGUGCCUGGCACAUGGCGGGGCCCCUCCCCAUGCUGGGUGAAUGAGUGAAUGAAUGAAAGAAAGAAUGAAUGAAUGAGCCACAGAUAAAAAGGGGCACAGCAGGCGUUACCGUCUGUAGGUAAAGAGAAUUAACGAACUGAACGAUGACUCAGAUUUGGAGAAACAAAGGAGACUACCUUAUCACUCAUAACUUUGCAUGUCGCUUUAAACCCUCUGAAGAUCUUACUGGUUACCUCGAACUAAGUAUCUGAACUACUAGGACAUCACCUGUGUUGCUAGGCACAAGUAUGAUCACGUACAAACAUGUGUGUGCACGUGCAUUUGAAUGCAGAAGGGAUGUUUGAGGAGGACCUGUUUGCAUGCAUGCGAAGAUGUUUUUCCUACAGGGAGGUACAAAGAAUUGUUGGCUACAGGGCAUCUGAGAAGCCCGAAGGCAACACCGCAGGCAGUUAAUGGUGCUCGGACGGCCUGUGAAUUCCCAGGGGCCCACGGAGCAUGGGGCCGUCCUGGGACAGAGCCCUGCUUCUUGUGCAGUUAACUGAAAGGGCCUUUCUCUCCCUUCCGCUGCUGCAGGGAAGUCUCUGCACACAAUGCUGUGUGUGUCCCAAGGCUGCAGGGCCAAUUCAGGGAGAGCUCUGAAAAGCAUCUUUAUGUUUCAGCCGAGCAGAUGGGUGAAGAGUAAGAACCCUGGUUCCUCUGGGCUCUCACCAGCCCACGGACGGCCAGAGCAGGCCAGGACCCCCUGGCCCCUCCGGAUGUGCUGCCUGAGCCUUGGGCUGCUCUGACCCCGGGGUUCACUGGGAAGUUGCCCUGUGAAUGGCACCAGGCAGCUUCAAUGGAGAGCCUUCCCCCGUGCUUAUAAGAGGGCUGUGUGUCACGACCGUCUGCCUUGGAAAGCUGCCCAGACCAGACCCAGGUAUCGGGACCAUGACCUUGCACUGUGUGUGCAGCCUGUGCCAGGCAGCUGGGGCCUUCUCUUCAGCGCUCUCAGCCCUGCGCCCGGGCCUCCCGCCACACAGGAAGACACAGCUGGAGGCCUGUGCCUAGCCACAGGGCCCCACGUGGCUCCCCGAGCACCCAUGGGGGAGGGAGGCUGCCCGCUGGCCCCAGCCCAACCCCGCCAUCCCCGGGGCCAUCUGCUCGGGAAGCAGCAGAAGAUGUUUGACAGAACACAGUGGAGCGCUGAUUCCUGAGUCCACUCCAGUCUCUGCUUCCUCCCUUUCUUCUUUUUAAAUAAGCAAUAUGGGUGUAUGGCUCCACAUUCAAAAGCUGCCAACUAGCACAGGGUGAAAGGAACGUGUCUCUCCCACCCGCAAGUGCCAGGCGACCAGGGACCCGGCCAGAAACCACCACCAUGUCACCACAGCACACAGGCAUGUGCAGUUCUGUGUGUGUGUGUGUGUUAACGCGACAUAAAACUGCACUGCCCCUUGCUUUCUGGACUUUGCUUUUCACGUCAUUUCACAUGCAGCUGCUGUGGCUAAUGUUUCUCUUUGGGUGAGUCACGCAGUUUGUGACCAGUCCCCCUCGCAGGCCUCUGCUCCCGUGCGGUCGUGGUUUCUGUGCCAUGGCGAUGGGUGACUCAGAAACCGGCUCACACCCCGUGAGCCACACGGUGGGAGAAACGCCACAAGGUAGGCACAUUCCAGAGAACUCCACUGGGCUGCUGAGAUGACUUGGCCGUCUGGAUUUCUUCGCUGUUACCAAGGAAGUCCGCCUUGCUCUCCCCCGGUCGCCACCGCUGGGGGCCAGUCUUCCAGGCACCGGUGAGUCAGAACAAGAAAAAGAACAAGGGUCGCUAACAUGUCAGAGCGCCUGCUCUCUGCCCAGCAGCACUCUGCACACAACGUAUGUGACACUGUUUAAUCCUCCAGACAAAUCACGAGAUACGUUGUUAUCGACUCCUAUGUACAGAUGGGGAAACUGAGGCACACAGGCGGUAAGGAGCUUGCUAAAGUCCCACAGCUAGGGGGUGCUGGGUCUUGGGUUGAACCCUCGCAGCCGAGCUCUGUGCCACACCCUGGCUCAUAGCAAAAUCUUCUGAGCAAUUGCUUGGCUGCUGGAGCUCCUGAAGCUGCGGCUGGUGUGUGCGUACCAGCCGGUGCUUGCCAGCCAAGCCCGAAUGGCAGCCGUGUCUUUGGCUCCCGACUCUGCGGCGUGCCUGGUGAGAUGCUGGACUAGGUCGUAAGCUUCGUUCACCCCAGUACCUGGUGCACAGCUCAAUUAAUUAUCAAUGAAUGAAUGCCGUACUGGAUAAAAUAAUGCAAAUAAUAGCUAACAUUUGUGGAGUACUGGCUAAGAGUUCACCAUAGAUUAUCUCAUCUAUAAAGGAGAUAAACCCCAUUAUUCCACUUGACUGAUGGAGAAACACAGGCUCAGAGAAGUUGAGUAACUUGCCCAGGGCACACAGCCGGUGAGUCGAAGAGCGAGGAUUGGGUCUCUGGGGGUCUGUUCUCUGCCUCGGUGGUUUCUGUGCGAUGUCUGAGGUCCUGGCUGCACCCAAGUUUGUGGAUCCAUGAAUUUCCCUUCUUGGCAUUAACCUCCACUGGUACAGGCUGAAGGCAAUAGCUACACAGCCUUUAAAAAGAGCAGCUGCACAGUUUCGUCUCCAGCCCUCAGCCCUCUCACGACUCCCGGGAGGUGACCUCAAGACCCAGCUCGGCCGGGAACCCAUCCCAGCCCCACCUCUGGGACCGGCACACAGUGAGAGAAUGCGGCUCACCGAAUCCCCCACCAAAUGGGAACUGACUGCGGAGCCCACUGACCGCAAGUGCUGCCAAGGGCGUGGAGGAGGAACAGCUCUCUUCCCCUGCCGGGGAUGCCAACUCAGGACCGCCUGGGAAGGUCACCUUGCGGAGCUGCGUCCGACCUCACCCCAGUGACUCCAUUCCCACCGCUGUCCCCAGAGAAGCCCAGGACCCAGGACACAGGCGCUGGGGUCUCCUAGCAACGUUGUUAGUAAUGGCAGAACCCUGGAAACAGCCCCCAACUCCACUGAUAGCAGAACAGGUAAAAAUCUACACAUUCCCAUCACACAUUCUACGAACUACGGCUCGAUCGAUGCACUACUGCGGAAGCCUCCUAAUGUCCCAGAAGGCAACUUGUAGGAAGAGGCAUGUUUAUAAAGUUCAGAAACGAGCGAAAGUGUAGGGAACACGGGGAGUGACAAGAAGGAGUGAGUUUCAGGUAUUGGGUACUCACCUGUGUUCCUGGGGAGGGGGAUGUGUGAGCUUCAGCCUGUGGGGAACAUGCCGGCUCUUAAAUUGGGUGCUGGGUCCAUGGAUAUGAUUCAGUGUUUACACGUCACAGCUUAAACGUGUAUUUAUAUGUGUUAAAUAGUUCCUCAUUAAAUUUAAAAAUUAAUGUUUAAAAAGAAGAUGUCGAAAGAAUAUACACUGAAGUAUUACAAGUGGUUACCCUGAAGGCAGGGGUUAUGGGGGAUGUUCAUUUUCUAUUUUAUAUAAUUCUGAUCAUUUAAAUCCUUUUGAGUAAAUGGGUUACAGUUUAUAAUUGGAAACACAAAAGGCCGACAAACGUCAAAAUAGGAAAAAGAGAGAAAGCUAAAGAUUUGCCCACUGAGUCGGUGGCCCACCUGAAGAAAAUGGGAGCGGAAGGUGGUCUGCCCCCCUUCCCUCUGCGGAGAGGGACGGAGAAGCACCAAGACUGAGAUAAGACCUUCGUCACACAGCUUCGUGCCUCUGACCCGUCACCAGCCACAUCGCCCCUGGUGUGACAAGCAAUGACAUGUUGUGAAAAAUAAAUUCCGUGACCCUGCCAUGACUGUGGAGGUUUUAUGUGAGGCUGAGUGUGUUAAGCAUACUAUGUCGUUCAAGGUAAGUACUUAAAAUACACCACAAACUUUGAACUCUCUUUUGAUGUUAUUUGUUUUCAAAUAUACUGGAAGCUUCCACACAUCAAAGCAGCCAGGACCUCCCCUGACCCUUGAGAGGCCCUGCCCACCAAGAGCCUUUGCCCCUGUCGUCCAGCCGGGUCCCCGCAGAGAAGCCCAGAAUGCCGGACGGGCUGACGGGGGAUUCAGUGGGGACAGAGACGGCUGGCGCUCUGUCCUGUGCACUCCAGAAGGCUCUGCACCGCGGCCACUAAGAAUUCUGUCUCCUCUGUGAGACGGAGAAGACAUUGCAGGGGCCAACCUGCAUCUCGGUCAUAGGGCUCUGCCCACCUCCUCCGCUGCCCUCCCUGUUCUGUACAGGUGUUUUCUCCAUAGAUCUCUCGCAUGCCCGACGUCAUCUCGGUGUUUGAUUCUCGGAGGACUCAGUCCAGCUGGAAUCGAAGGGAGGACGGCAAACAGCCCCAGUGUCUGCUGCCUGGAGGGUGAGGUCAGUCUUACCCAUUACUCUUAUGGCAAUGUCUGUCCGUAGCUGGGGCCAUUAUUCUGCCCCCUCUGAAGAGACACAAAGCCCCUUGUGAGAGGGGCACAUUGUAUCCCCACACCUUUGUGGCACCUGCCACAGUGCUGACCCUGAGCCACAGCCUGUAACCCACGAUCACCCAAGUAACAGCGUGUCCUCAUUAUGGGCACCUCAAUGAGCUGAUGAGUCCUGUGUUCAAGUGAGAGGCGACAUGUGACUUCACUCUGAAAAACAUAAAGGGCUUUGGGGUUCGGUCAGCAGCUCCUCCCCUUGUUUGGGGUUGGGUAGCAUGUUGUUGAGCUUAACCAAGGAUUCUGGGUGCCAUGAGAUUAGGAAAAAAGAGGCAAAAAAUAGAAGCAAACACAUAGAUUUCCUGGAUGACAAGGGUUUUUAAAAAAGUAUUUAAAUAUGUUAAAGAGGUAAUGGAAAAAGAUGGGCAAAUAGAGGAUGAUAUGAAGGAAUUCAACAGAAAAAUAAGAACUUAUUGAAGUAUGCAGUAUCUGAACUGAAGAAUUCAUCACACAAGUUUAACAGUAGACGGGACACUGGAGAAGAAAGAAUUGGUGAACUUGAAAACGUGUCCGUAAAUAUACAAUGACCACACGACCCAGGAAUCGCACUCUUAGCAUUUAUCCCAGAGAAAGAAAAACUUAUGUCACCUGAAGACCUGUACACAAAUGUAGACAGCAGUUUCACUGACUACAGCCCCAAACUGGAAACCACUCAUUGGUCCUUCAACAGGUGAACAGCUAAACAACAUGUGUGCACAUCACAGAUACGUCUCGGUCAUAAAAACAGAUGGACUAUUGGUAAAUGCAACCAGUCAGACGAGUUUCAAGGGAAUUUUCUUUUUUGAGUAAAAAAGCCAGUCCCAAAGGUUACAUAGCAUAUGAUCCCAUUUAUAUAACAGUCUUGAAAUGCCAAAUUUAGAGAUGAGGAACAGAUUAGUGGUUGUCGGGGCUCAGGGGUGGGGUGCGGACAUGGUGGAGAGAUGGUGGCGGUUAUGAAGGGGCCAUGCAAGGGCUCCUGAGAGCGAUGGCGGUGUUCUGUGUCCUGACUGAGGUCGUGGACGUGUGAACCUACAUUUGUGAUCAAAUUGAAUUGAACUUCACACACACACACACACACACACGCACACACCCAGAUCAGCAUGAGAAAAACUGAGAACACUUUGGUAAGAUCAGUGGGUCGUACUGAUUCAGGAUCCUGGUGGUGACAUUGCAGGUCAGUUCUGUACGACGUUACCCCUGUGGAAACUGAGUAAAGGGUGGAGGAUAUGUUUGCACUACUUCUUACAACUGCAUGUGGAUCUAUCAACAAAUAAGAAAGAAAAAAGAGCAGAACGGAGUGUCCACGGACCACGAGACAAUAGCAAAUGCUCUAACACAGACACAGUGACAGGGCAGGAAGAGAGCAGAGAGGGGAAGUGGGAUAGAAGGAUUACUUGAAGAUUUAAUGGCUGAGGAUUUUCCAAAAUUAAUGAAAAAUAUCAACCCAUAGACCCAUGAAUCUCAUGGAACCCCAAGGAGAAUAAAUUAAAAAAACAAACAAGCCACAUCUAAGCAUAUCCUACUAAAACCACUAAAAUACAGAGUUUAACAGAAAUUCUGGCACAUAGCCUAAGGAAAGAAGACAUCUUCAAUAGAACAACAACGAAAAAUGAUGACUGAUUUCAUCAGAACAAUGAAAGCCAGAAGCCGAUGGAAGGACAUCUAAUGUGAAAGAAAAAAGUGUCAGCGAGAAGCCCAUAUCCAGUGGAAGUACAGGGAAAAAAAUUUAAGUCGACAAAAGCGAAGAAGACCAGAGAUAACUUGCUACCAGCAGAACCACUGUAAGAAAUGCUAACGGAAAGUCUUUAAGCCAAAGGGACGUCAGCUCAGAUCAGGGGCCAGACUUGCAGGAAGAAUCAAGAACACAAGAAAUGGUAGGCAUUUGGGCAAAUGUGAAAGACUAUCUCUCUUCAGUUGACAAUCUCUUUAAAGUUGGCUGUUUCAUGGGGAAAACAAUACAAUGUGCGUGGUGUUGACAGCACACCCAGAAAGAACCCGGCGACAGCUCAAGGGACAGUUCAGCCUGUGUUGUUCAUGAGGGGGGACAACCUUACCUCAAGGAAGACGACUGUCAGUUAGGGGUAUAGGUGGUGAUACCCCACAACCACUAAAGAUAAUACAGAGAGAUACAGUACAGAGACUUUAUAUUUAAUACCCACGGCGCCUGGGUGGAACGGGCAUUGCCUCCCGAUUUCACAGGUAGAGAGCUGAGGCUUGGAGAUGGCGAAGCUUAGCUCAUGAGCACCGGGUGGGAAACAGAACCGAUCCCAAGGUUUGGGGGGCCCCCAAGGUCAAGGCCCUCUUCAUCCUUUCAAGGGUCAAUAAACUUUCUCUGUACGGGGUCAGAUAAUACAUAUUUUGGGCUUUGUGGACCAUAGGGUUUCUAUCAAUCACAACCACUUCAACUUUGUUGUAAAAGCAGCCACGGCCCAUUUGUAAUUAAUGGGUCAUAGCAGUGCACCAAUAAAGCUUUAUUUAUAAAACCAGGAGGUGAGCCAGAUGUGGCCCCUGGGCCACAGUUUGCCAGUCUUCACACUAUCCCAUCACCCACUGGUUUUCAGUCCUGGCCUGGAAAGGGUCAUUCUGAUCCACAGCCGGGGCACAGAGCCGCUGAUGGGUUCCCCUUGGUCCCCACUCCCAGCCCUUGGAGUCAGCCCAGUCACUGACGAUCCAGACUUUCAAACUCACACGAACCAUAUCUGCAACAGACUGAUGUGCACCCACACUGCCCCACGACCAAACCUUCAGCACAAUUCUGCGGCAGCCCAGGCUUGCGGGGCCAGGACUAAAGCCUUAACCGAGAGGCCGAGGCCCGGAGGGAAGGCUUUCUCGUUCACCUUCAGAGAAACCCCCAGACCUUCAGUUGGGUGGGUUGGCAGCUUCAGGUUUACUAAACAUCCCCAAACUGGUUUCAGCAGGUGCCCCUCCCACGGCACUCAGUGCUCCCCACCGCUGGCAUUGCUGGGUCAGUUUUGUCAUUUGGGACAUAAAAUGUCAGCUGUGUUUAACCACUUGCUCAGGUCUCCAAACCCCACUGAGGGCGGGAAUCAGUGUUCAGAGCUGUUCCACACAGUUGCGCUUCACCUUGAAGUCUGCAACCACUUCUUGACCCUUGAAAUCACUGCCGCCUGUCAUCCCUGCCUGCCCUGCCGCUAAGGCCAAGAGCGGUCGGGACUGGCACUCACCCCUGGGAUGCAGCUGCCCCUACACUCUCCCUUCUUUCCGACUGAAGACAAUCCCAUUGCGGACAUCAGUCUAUUCUUCCUCAGGCGAGACUAAUCGUUAACAAGCCGCUUCCGUUUGUUGAGCACUUAUAAUAGGCCACGUGCUUUGCACACACAGUCUCAUUUGAUCUCACACCCCAGGGCCUUACUAGUCUACUCCUUUUGCAGCGGAGGAAACAAAGGUUCAGAGCAGUUCCCUGGUUUUCCUAGGCCACGAGGUUUUAAGUGACCUGCUUAGCUGCAGGACCCAGGUCUGGCCGACUGCAGGGCUCGCGCCCACGCCGCCAUGGUGUGUUGUCUGUCCUCUGGGGACAGGAAAGUCCCAGGAAGGGGUGGCACCUUCCGUCCUUCUGUCCUCAGGCUGCCAGACCGUCAGGCUGAGAGGUGAGAGGGAGCUCCCCGCAUGUCUCCACUGGCAGCCGGACACCGUGACAGGGGGAACAGAGGACACCACGGGGACGCGUCCUUAGCUCCUCAGGAGCCUCACAAAAUUGCACAGUGGGAUGUGUUCUUCCCAUUAUCGAAAUACUACACGGCCACAAAAAAUGAGAAAAUGCACACAAGUAAACAGAAGGGGAAAAAUCGGUCGUGGGGCUCUUAACCAGUGAUGUGUGGGCAAAUUCCCUUCUCUUUGGAAGGGUCGGAAUCGCACUGUAUACACACACUGCUUUAUGAGCGAAGUUCCAUAUUUACAAGUUGUUUAAUUGCCCUGUUUUUCUUAACCAGUUCCCUCAGGGGAGUGUAGGCUGGGUGAGGCAUGGCUGGGCGGUCUCCCCACUCACUGUUGCAGGGUCUCACGGGCCAAUUUCAUUUCCUCCGCAGACGUGAGUGGCCACUGUGGUGCCAUUUGCUAUGGGGCUUCCCGGGCAGCACUUCCUGGUGCACUGACAGAAACCACGCUGGCAUUGACCAUGAGCUUGCGUCGUCCACUGGUUUGGUGGCACAUGCAGCCCUAUGGAACCACCCCUGUGCUCUUGGCCUCUCAGUCCCAUCCAGAGGGCACUGGCGCAUGUCCCAGAUUCCCAGGAUUGGGGACCUUGUGGGAAGGGUGCCCCAGGAAGGCUCUUGGCCAAUGUCUCCCCUUUCCUGAUGGUCACACGUCACUCAAGGUUGGGUGAGGGGAGUUGGCCACAGAGGGGGCUGUACGGGGGUCUGGAGGCCAGAAGACACGUGUGUGGAGCCUGGCUCUUCUACUUGUUAGUUGUGGAAAUGGAGCAAAUUACAGAAGCUUGGAGCCUGGGUCUCCUCACAUUUAUGAGAAAAUACUUCCUUCCCUCCAGGGUUUUUGUGGGAAUGAGAUGACAUAACCCAAGUGAACUUGCUGGGCCCAGUUGCUGACCUAAUGAAGGCAGUUAAUAAAGAACUGAGCUCAUUUCCGACCCCACCUCCCCGCCCCCGGGGAGGAGAGCUCUCGGUUCAGUUUUUCCAUUAUCCUAUCUCUCAGUUCCACUGAGCCCUUGUGUUCAAAAGCUUUGUCCUCUUGCAGAAAAAGGUCUCCAAAGCCAUACUGGGCAAUCCAGUAGCCUCGAGGCUUUCCUGGCCCGAUGCUCUGGCCAGAUUAUGGGCAAAGGGCUCCCUACCCUCAUCUUGUUGACAAGUUCAAGACCACUUGGCUUACUUUAGGAAUAAACAAGACCAGCAAAAACACUCUUCACUCCUCGUACCAAAUAAGCUCAUCUGUUCGCUAUAUUCGAUACACAUUUGCUGGCAGGCGGAACGGCGCUGUGUGCACUGGGGCCAGCUCUGGGGGCGUCUUGAAGGCCUGCCUGAGGGGUCUGGGCCCUGCCUCCCCUCUGAUGCUAAUCUUCCCUGCUCACCUCAUCAUGCUUCGUUUCUGGACCAGCCUCAUCGUACGGAAACCGAAGACUAGGGACAGGAAGGACCAGCCAGAUAUUAGGGUUCAAAUGCACCCAUUAGUCCAGUGGUCCUCCUGUGGGGCGCUUAGAGCUCCCAGAUGCCCAAGCGCACCCCGGCUCACUCAACCAGGAUUUCUGGGCACGGGGACCAGGCACAGCACCAAGUGUGGGCCAAGUUCGAGAAGCAGUGACUUAACCACCAUUGCUGAUGGGCCUGACUGCUCCCCAUGCACCGCUCUUUAUAACAGCCACGUGGAGCCGGCUCAUAGCCAGCACUGCUGACGGCGACAGACCACCUCAGUCCAUUCCCGAUGAACUCCCUGAGUGGGGAUGUGGUAGCCAGUCCAAGAUCAUGCAGAUGUCCUGAAGUCAUGCAUGACAAACCUUUUAUUACAUUAAAAAAAGUCAUCUGUUAACUGCUGAACUGCAGGGAAAACUGUAUCCGAGGCUACUUCAGAAAAAUGGCAUCAGGGAACAAACAUAUUUUCAGCAUCACAAAAUGGCCAGAUUCUCCUCCACUUUCUCCAUUAAAUAGUCAUCAGUGGCUCUGGCCAGAUCUGGUGAGAGCACCGAAUUGCUGCCUGGACGUAAAACCAGGAUUAUCCUAAUAUGUCAACAACGCAGGUCCCUUUCCAUCCCUGUCCCUGGCAGCCAGACUGCUGUGGUUUGAACACAGAGGCCACGCCCUGGUGGCAUCUGUCCCAUGUCUCUGCGGUGACAUGAUGCUUUUCCCAAGAGCUGGCUCUGGGACGGUUUCAAUGGCGGCAUCGCCAUCUGGGGCCCACGUGCAUGGGCUGUGGUGGGCUGCUGUGGGCUACGCGAUUGGUUCCCUCUGAGAUAGGGAGCAGCUUGGUUCCACCUCACUAUGCAGCCCAUUUUCUAUCCCGAGGGGGUGUCAGCAAACGCAGCUCCUCACUCGGGGUGGGGAGUGGUACUUCGCCCCAGAGCAGGCCUGGCGGGUGCAUCCGGCUGGGCCGGGCAGGGUGUGACCUGCAAGGUGAAGCUGAGGAGCAGUGGGGAUGCUGCCUUUCAGUUCAGAGCAACUUCCGAGGCCCCCAGUGUCCACUCCACCUGCGGGGUACGUGGACGUGACCCAAAGGGCUUUCCCACUGAGCCGGAAGGUGAGGAGCCCACCUGCCAUGGUGCCCGGGCUCUGUCGCCUGUUGGAAGCGGCUGUUCACGCUGCCCUUGCCCUUGUGUGGAGGCUCAGCUCGCCCUCCUGCUCCUGGGUGUGACGAGGGCAGUGGGAUUCCUGGGAUCCGGAAGCACUGGGGCUGCUGCUUGAGAGGCGAGGUGCUCCUCCCCGCACUUCCGCUCCCACCCAGGAGCACGUCGCUGGCUUCACACGGGGUCACGUGCCCUCGCCUCCCGCUUUGCUCCUGCUCCUCCUCUGCCCCACCUCACCCCUGCACCAGGCCACACCACACAGGCAC